rnacentral:rRNA from 2 species
UACGAAAGGUGCAAGCGUUACUCGGAAUCACUGGGCGUAAAGCGCACGUAGGCGGACUCGUAGGUCAAUUGUGAAAUACCUGGGCUCAACCCAGGAACUGCAGUUGAAACCACUUGUCUUGAAUACCUGAGAGGGUGGGGGAAUACCUGGUGGAGAAGUGAAAUUCGUAGAGAUCAGGUGGAACACCGGAGGCGAAGGCGCCUGCCUGGCAGUGUAUUGACGCUGAGGUGCGAAAGUGCGGGGAGCAAACAGG